rnacentral:rRNA from 1 species
GACGAACGCUGGCGGCGUGCUUAACACAUGCAAGUCGAACGAAGAGCGAUGGAAGCUUGCUUUUAUCAAUCUUAGUGGCGAACGGGUGAGUAACGCGUAAUCAACCUGCCCUUCAGAGGGAGACAACAGUUGGAAACGACUGCUAAUACCGCAUACGAUCUAAUCUCGGCAUCGAGGAUAGAUGAAAGGUGGCCUCUACAUGUAAGCUAUCACUGAAGGAGGGGAUUGCGUCUGAUUAGCUAGUUGGAGGGGUAACGGCCCACCAAGGCGAUGAUCAGUAGCCGGUCUGAGAGGAUGAACGGCCACAUUGGGACUGAGACACGGCCCAGACUCCUACGGGAGGCAGCAGUGGGGAAUCUUCCGCAAUGGACGAAAGUCUGACGGAGCAACGCCGCGUGAGCGAUGACGGCCUUCGGGUUGUAAAGCUCUGUUAAUCGGGACGAAAGGCCUUCUUGCGAAUAGUGAGAAGGAUUGACGGUACCGGAAUAGAAAGCCACGGCUAACUACGUG